UACGAAGGGGGCUAGCGUUGCUCGGAAUCACUGGGCGCAAAGCGCACGUAGGCGGACUCUUAAGUCGGUGGUGAAAUCCUGGAGCUCAACUCCAGAACUGCCUCCGAUACUGGGAGCCUUCGAGUCCGGGAGAGGUGAGUGGAACUGCGAGUGUAGAGGUGAAAUUCGUAGAUAUUCGCAAGAACACCAGUGGCGAAGGCGGCUCACUGGCCCGGUACUGACGCUGAGGUGCGAAAGCGUGGGGAGCAAACAGG
rnacentral:rRNA from 1 species